GGGAUGUAUAUUUUUCCCACAAGUAUCAAUUUUAGAUUUUACUUGCCCCAGGGCUUUGGUAAGUGAUGAGGACUCAAAAACGGGAUUGUGAUAGGGAGAAUGCCACAAAUUUGUUGAAUCCUAUCAUCAACAAUGAACCUGAUAUUUUAGUGGGAUCUGGGUAAGGAGGUGGCUCGUAUUCUCAGGAGUUUUUAACUUGUAGGUCAAUCUGGGCCAUUUGAUAUCACCAUAAAAUUUUCUGUUAUUCAGAAAAAAUUUGAGCCCAACCAGAAUAUUUAGGUU
rnacentral:misc_RNA from 1 species